GACGAACCGUGCGAACGUUGUUCGGAAUCACUGGGCUUAAAGGGCGCGUAGGCGGCGGGUCGAGUCCGGGGUGAAAGCCCCCAGCUUAACUGGGGAAGGGCCUCGGAGACUGGUCCGCUCGAGGGAGGUAGGGGUCGCGGGAACUUCCGGUGGAGCGGUGAAAUGCGUUGAUAUCGGAAGGAACGCCGGUGGCGAAAGCGGCUUCCUGGUCCAGCACCGACGUUCAGGCACGAAAGCGUGGGGAGCAAACAGG
rnacentral:rRNA from 1 species